UCUACAGAGUGAACUCGAUAUCUUGGAUAUAUGGGCAGCUUACACGGACAAUUUCUUGGAAUUCAAUGGAGCAGCAUCUCCAGUCUUAACGUCUGUGGCGGGACUUGGCAAUAGAAAGAUAAAUAGUCUUGGCGUUAUUGGAUUACACAUGAAUCCAGGAACACUCUUCUAGUUUUUCCAAGGAGGAAAAAGAAACAGCUGUGGUUGUUCAUGCAAGGAAGUAGCGCUGGAAGGAAAGGGCUGCUUCUGGAUGAGAUUUUCAUUUUGCAAUUGCUCUGCCUCCUUCGCUGAAUUUUAUUGACUGGGUACAGCCUGCUCAUGUUUAUCUACUGUAUCAUGCAUCUUUUUCUUUAAUAGUUUAUUCUUAGUAAGGAGGAAUAAACCAAAUAGUUGCACAAUG